AUGACGUCAAGUCAUCAUGGCCCUUAUGUCCAGGGCUACACACGUGCUACAAUGGGUGAGACAGAGUGACGCGAAGCCGCGAGGUGGAGCAAAUCGCAGAAAAUCAUCCGUAGUUCGGAUUGGAGUCUGAAACCCGACUCCAUGAAGGUGGAAUCGCUAGUAAUCGCGCAUCAGCAUGGCGCGGUGAAUACGUUCCCGGGCCUU
rnacentral:rRNA from 1 species